GAGAAUCCUUACGGCCGAAUAUCCAAGGUUUCCAGGGUAAAGCUGAUCUGCCCUGGGGAAGUCGGGACCUAAGGCGAGGCCGAGAGGCGUAGCCGAUGGACAACAGGUUGAGAUUCCUGUACUACAGUAUGACAGAACUGUGGGGACGCAGAAGGAGAGCACUACCUGGAAUGGAAUCCAGGGGCAAGCACAGGAGGGGUACGGCUGGAAAAACCGCCGUGCAACCCAAAGGUGUGACGCAUACCGAACUAAAGUAGGGAAAUGUGUGAGCCGGCUGCCGAGAAAAGCCGCUAUUGUUUGUACUGUACCCGUACCGUAAACCGACACAGGUGGAUGAGGAGAGAAUCCUAAGGCCGACGGAAGAAGCAUUGCUAAGGAACUCGGCAAAAUGACCCUGUAACUUCGGGAGAAAGGGUGCCUCGAAAGAGGCCGCAGAGAAUAGGCCCAAGCAACUGUUUAGCAAAAACACAGGUCUAUGCAAAACCGCAAGGUGAAGUAUAUGGGCUGACGCCUGCCCGGUGCUGGAAGGCUAAGGGGAGAUGUCAGGAGACGAAGCAUCGAACUUAAGCCCCAGUAAACGGCGGCCGUAACGAUAACGGUCCUAAGGUAGCGAAAUUCCUUGUCGGGUAAGUUCCGACCCGCACGAAAGGCGUAAUGAUUUGGGCGCUGUCUCGGCAAUGCAUCCGGUGAAAUUGAAGUGCCAGUGAAGAUGCUGGCUACCCGCGCCAGGACGGAAAGACCCCAUGGAGCUUUACUCCAGCUUGAUACUGGGAUUCGGUAUUGUAUGUACAGGAUAGGUGGGAGGCUGAGAAAUGGUGACGCCAGUCGCCAUGGAGCCGCUGUUGGGAUACCACCCUUGCAGUACUGGAUUUCUAACCAGCAGCCGUGAUCCGGCUGGGGGACAAUGUCAGGUGGGGAGUUUGACUGGGGCGGUCGCCUCCGAAAGGGUAUCGGAGGCGCUCAAAGGUUCCCUCAGAAUGGUCGGAAACCAUUCGAAGAGUGCAAAGGCAGAAGGGAGCUUGACUGCGACACCGACGGGUGGGGCAGGUACGAAAGUAGGACUUAGUGAUCCGGUGGUAUUAAGUGGGAAUGCCAUCGCUCAACGGAUAAAAGCUACCCUGGGAUAACAGGCUUAUCACUCCCAAGAGUUCACAUCGACGGAGUGGUUUGGCACCUCGAUGUCGGCUCAUCGCAUCCUGGGGCUGUAGUAGGUCCCAAGGGUUGGGCUGUUCGCCCAUUAAAGCGGUACGCGAGCUGGGUUCAGAACGUCGUGAGACAGUUCGGUCCCUAUCCGGCGUGGGCGUAGGAUAUUUGAGAGGAGCUGACCUUAGUACGAGAGGACCGGGUUGGACUGACCUCUGGUGCACCGGUUGUCAUGCCAAUGGCACAGCCGGGUAGCCAAGUCGGGAAGGGAUAAACGCUGAAGGCAUCUAAGCGUGAAGCCCCCCUCAAGAUGAGAUAUCCCCCGCAUAAGCGGUAAGACCCCUUGAAGACGACGAGGUAGAUAGGGCAGAGGUGGAAGUGCAGUAAUGUAUGGAGCUGACUGCUACUAAUAGGUCGAAGGCUUAACG
rnacentral:rRNA from 1 species